rnacentral:lncRNA from 1 species
UUUCUUUACUCCUUUUAGGAUGUCUGGCCAGCUGUCUUGGACAUCUAACGUCAUGAGAAGCUAGCUGAAAAUCUCAUUUUUAUAGGCACUCUGGGAUUUUACUGAAUCUAACCACUAUGACAAGAUACUAAAAAUAUUUUUAAAAACUUCAACGGAAAUUUGAAAAUAUAUUCACGAAGAUAUAACCUCUGAAGACAUUUGAGAAAUCUUAUUUGCAAAAUCUUUUUAUGAAGAAUCUUUUUUCAUGUACAGAGAACAGGCA